UACAAAAACAUAAAAAUAUUAAUUGAUCUCAAACCAACAUUCACACGAAUAUCGUUUGAUUUUCAUGUGAUCAAUUCUUACUUAAAUACGAUCUCACAAUAAACACUUCAUUGCACAAGUCACCACAGCUUCAAAGUAGGUCGAUAUAAGUAGACAGAAUUAUUGCUAAUUUAUUUUGUUGCAUUUUUACUUGUUACAAAAAGAAGUACAAGAAAAGCUAUGAAAAGAGCUUACAUACUGUUGUGUUUACUGGUUUUUAUUGAUUUGGUCAAAAUGGAGCGAUACAAGCAAAUGAAGGAAAGACCGACGAAAUCAUUAUUGGAAAAUACGUACAAAGAGAAUGUAAAUCGUGUAAUUUGUGGAAAAAUUCAUGGAGUGCAACAAUGGUGUCCGGAUGGUACAAAGUGUUGUCCAGUUCAUAGUUUUGAGAUCGAAUUUGAAAAUUACCGUUGUUGUCCUUGGUUGAAUGGAAUUUGUUGUUUUGACGGGAGUUGUUGUCGUUCUGGUUCUGGGUGUUUUGGGUUUGGCAAAUCGUGUUCUGUCCGAUGGAAUUCAACACAUGUGUGAAUAAAAUAAUGUAUAAUCUUUUCCAUGAUUACGAAUUUCUAUAUCUUGACUGGUUGGAAUGGAU